rnacentral:rRNA from 1 species
CCUACGGGGGGCUGCAGUGGGGAAUAUUGGACAAUGGGGGGAACCCUGAUCCAGCCAUGCCGCGUGUGUGAAGAAGGCCCUCGGGUUGUAAAGCACUUUCAGUGAGGAAGAACGCCUGGUGGUUAAUACCCAUCAGGAAAGACAUCACUCACAGAAGAAGCACCGGCUAACUCCGUGCCAGCAGCCGCGGUAAUACGGAGGGUGCGAGCGUUAAUCGGAAUUACUGGGCAUAAAGCGCGCGUAGGUGGCUUGAUAAGCCGGUUGUGAAAGCCCCGGGCUCAACCUGGGAACGGCAUCCGGAACUGUCAAGCUAGAGUGCAGGAGAGGAAGGUAGAAUUCCCGGUGUAGCGGUGAAAUGCGUAGAGAUCGGGAGGAAUACCAGUGGCGAAGGCAGCCUUCUGGACUGACACUGACACUGAGGUGCGAAAGCGUGGGUAGCAAACAGGAUUAGAUACCCCAGUAGUC